AUGUAUUUUUAUCUGAGAGAGAACGAGCAACAAAGAAAAAAUAAAUUUUCUUAGCUCUAGUAAAGGCUCAGAAACAAUGACCAACCCAGUACUGUGAGCACUCUAUCACCCAGAUUAUGGUCUUGAAACAGUAAUCAGAAAAGUAACCAGAGCUCCCUUGGAGAAGUGCUGAUUCCAGGUUUGGGGCAGAAAAUGUCCAAGAUGAGCCUUGGAACACCUUGACAUAUCACAGGGCAAGUCAAAAGGACUCAGCCAACCUAAAGAGGCUCUCCCUUGCCAAGUUGGGAUCACUGGAUCAUCAGUAAGGGUCAAAACUGCAAUUGACUGUGUCACAUUGAAGAUAUUUACAGGCCAUACAUCGAUGAGUUCAUAAUGAUACUAAAACAAAAUGACUGACUUACUGAUCACCAUUGAGAAUUCUAGUAAAUCGACUCACUUUUUCAACAAGCAAGAGAUGAAAGGAAAGAAUCAAAUAUAUAUUCUGCUUUUUCUAUACCAGUUGCAAGUCUGAGAAUAGAUUAAGUCAGAGCUUCUCUUUAUAGAUGCAUUCCAACAAAUACAGGAUGAGGAAUUCUAGAAUUACCUAUUGCUAUGUAGCAAUGUAGCAACCACUAAUGAAAUAAUGGAUCUAGGUUAAAGAGGAGGACAAGAGAAUACAUAAAACAACACAAGGGGAUACAACCAGUAAAAUCAGGACUGCAGGAAACUGCAGACAAAUGACCCUAUUUUUUUUCAACAAAUGAGAGGAAGAGUCUGUGAGAAAGACUCAUAGUUUAAGAGAUGUAAUAGACAUUUCAACAACCACCAUGUGUGGCCCUUACAUAGAUCUUGACUCAAACAGAAAAAGUCUGUUCUGAGAUAAUUGUGAGAUAAUUGGAAAUUUUAACAUUUUCUGCAAUAAAAAGUUCACUCAAACAAUCAGACCAUAGGAGCCUCUGCCCUCCCUGCUUGGGCUCCUCAGAGAGUCUAUAAGAAUUUUCUGUGGCCAAAGACUCUCCAUCGUAUUGGCUUCUCCAAUAACUAUGCUGCAGCAUGUGACCCUCUGUUUCCCAGCCUCGUUCCCCGAAGAGGUUCAUUAACUAAGAAUAAUCCGGAUGAGGCCUAAGCAUCAACCAAGACACCUCAACCAGAAUUUGGCUCCCUUAGAACAUUAGCACUGGUGGCAUUAGGAGUUCAAGUAAUAAAUGGAGACAACAUAUCCCUACACUCAAGCUGUUGUAGCUGUUCUCUGAGAGCACACUGGGGUUGCCAAAAAAAAAAGUUCAAUGGCCUGCAGGUCCCAACCCCCAUCGAUCCUCCAAACAUGGCAAACAUCCGACGGGUGGUAAAAUCUGGACAGAGUCACACAUCAGUAAAUGAACACAUGGGACAACUGAACAUUCGUGAUUCACCAUUCGUGAAUAUUUGUGAACACUAACAGAGAAAUACUGUUGUUUUCCAUUCGCAAUUUCUGUUAAAUAUUACACAGGGGUUAAGUCAAAGGUAAAAGUAGUUCAGCAUGUAAGGGCAAGAAAAGCCCAACACCAACAUUAUAAGAAGGUCUGUAGCCACAGACAUCACUUAGGCAACAUGAAGAAACAAAGAGAACCUGGGUGCCAGUGUGGAGGUUGGAUAGAGCUAAUGCACAAUGCAGUUUCCUCCCACCAGAAAUACAUAGGAGCAUUAGAGAAAGAAAACUAGCAUCUUUUUUAAUUUUUUCAAAUGUAGAGCUAAGCUAAAAAGAAAGAAACGGAAAUGCUUUGGGUGUCAAAAAUCAGAGAACAUCAAGCCAGGGGUGAAGAAGAGAAGCAGCAGAGGCGGUGCUGGGGGCACAAGGUCUGGGUAGCAGCCCCAACAUCCAGAAGGCACACCCAGAUCCAGACGUGGGUCUGGUAAUGUGGGGGGCAGGCAGCCAGACCCAUGGAAGGGUUGCCUUCUCCCAGGGAAGAGUGAAGCGAGAGAAUGAGGUUCUUGUCUCACGGAGUCAAAGAACAAAUCGCGCAAAGGAGAGUGAGUAAAGUGACAGAGUUUUAUUAA